AUCAAAUUGCUUUGCUCGUAGUUUAGCAAGUCUUUGCUUUGUGAUUCUGUGCAUCUGAAGUCACCUCAUUGUAAGGCUGCUGUUACCCUGACGGCAAUGACCUGGAUGGAGGGAGGCAAUGAGGGGGAUGAGUGCUGCGAAACGCCGCGGGAGGAAAUCUCAGACCUGCUUGGGUCUGCUUUGAACCUUCCACCUUUAAAAGGGAGAGACCUGAACAGGGGAGGAUAGAGCUCAUGCUUAGCAUACACAAGCUCCUGGGUUCAGUCCCCAGUAGCGCCACUAAAUUAAGUAAAUAAAUGACCCUAAUUACCUCUCCCCCUGAAAGAACAAAAUAAAUAAAAUAUUUUUUUUUAAAAAAAGGAAAGACUUCAUAACUAGGGGGGGAAAAAACCCGAAAGUGAAAAACAACAGCUAUUUGAGUCAGUACCUUAGCAAAUUGAAGUGACAGCUGUAAAACAUUUCACUUCUGACAAGAGAGCCCCUUUAGGGCAGGUAAUGAUCUGUUAAAUACCAGAAGAGCAGACCAAGGACCUGAAGACAUUUAACAGGGAGAAGAGGUGAGGUAGGAAGAGGGGGAGGAUGUGAGCUCUGCCUUCAGCUGGGGACGAAGACCAGGAGCAGGACCAGUGCAGAGAAUCACGGAGCGGCAUCUGGGAGCUCCCUUUGAUCCUUAGAGCCACCUGACAAUGGGAUGGCACCUUAGGAGCAAAAGGGAGCCCCCUGGCUCCAGGAACAGGUAAGCCUGGAUGGCCAUGUGACAGAAUCGCCAUAGUAAAGGGAAUUCUUAUAGCAGGCAAGAGCUGCAUUAGGGUCAAGGUUUUGCAGACUCAAAAAAAAAAAAAUCAGAACUCUUUCUUCAAGCGAGAUAGUACGCCAUGAUACUUAAAUUUAUAAAACAAAUCAAAGAGGGGCCAAUUCGGUGAUCCCGGGACACAUCCUCCUUGGAAUAUCCUAGGUGAGCACCGACGCCCCUUUCAAUGUGAGCUCCUCUUAUCCUGUGGUUCUUUAACCUCUUUUCAAACCAGAACUUUUCUCUCUUCUCUCCAGGCUUCUCUUGAGUUGCCCACGGCCUUCCUUGGAUGUGAUGUCACCAAAGUAGCAGUGGUCACAGGGGGUAGGGAAAGCUGGACUAUACGUGGCCCUCCCCGGGGACGGCGCUCUGGGGGCGCUUUCCGUGCUGAGCCGGGAUCGAGUGGCAGGCCAGGGCAGACUGUGAUUUGAGUUCCCCCGAGCAGGACACUCCUGUCUUUAGUCACCUUCGUGCAGAACGGGAAAACGGCAGGCAGAUCUAAAGCCUGAGCCAACAGGUAGACUUAAGUGGAACUGGUUUUCCAUUCUGUGAGAGACCUGCCUUGAAGGAAGCCCAGGAUGCUGUGUGGGCCUGCCCUGGUGGGGGUCUCAGAGGUGAAGAGGGGGGACUCCCUCUACUCUGAAGGGCCAAAUGCAAGAUGGCCCUGCUGUGGGCAGGGCUGGCAGCCAGGGCCCUCCCUUCUCUGCCCAGCAUUGCUGGCUCUUAGUCUGUUUUUCUCCCAACAGAACCAGAAUUUUUGUCAUAAAAUUCUUGGACUACUUGAGUUUCUGGAUUGUAAUGCCUUUAUUUUUUUUCACAGUGAUGAUAGCUCUAGUCUCGCUUAUAAACACCUAAAGGGCAGAAAAUGUUUUUCCCUCAGAAGAGCAAUGAAAAGAAAACGCCAAGGAGAUUUCAUCCCUCUUACUACAGCUUCUUCUCUGGUUGGCAAGAGUCACAGCUGUGACCUGAUUUUGUUUAUUUGAAAGGAAAGACAAUUGUUCAUUCACUCAACAAACAUUUACUGAACAGAGCUGCUGGGCUCCUGUUGGGCGUUGGGGAUAUUAAGUCAGCCCCAGCUCUGGAGGAGCCAUGAGUUGACAGGAUAAAUGGGAAAAUCAUGGUCCAGGCAUCCAUGUAUUGAAGGCAGUUGGUUUAAACAGGCUGCUACAUAGUCAGCCAGGUGAAUGAGAGAAGGAUGGAAAGCCUUCCAGACAGAGAACAGAGAAUGUGUAGGCAGCAUGAAGUCAGGGUAGAGAAACCGAGUCCCCCUAAAACUGAGCUCCCCUGCCGAGCUCAUGAUUAACCUCUCUGUCCAAAACUUUAUUCCCUCUGACCUCAGUCCUGUGCUAACUGAACACUAAUCAACCAGAUUGCUGUUGUUGAGAACAUUGUUAACCUGCAAGCUCAGGUUGUUUCUCCAGGGCAAGAUGAGCUAACAGACCCCAAGCCAUGGGCCACCUGGCCAGAGGAUCAUAAACCAGAGACAUCCUGACUCCUGAAGAAGUGUGGACCUGUCCCCCCGCAUGGAGAAGAGCAGGAGAUGUGCUGGGGAGAGAGGAGGGCAGCAGGUGGCUUGGUGAGCUGGACGACAUAAGAUCUGGAGCUGGAGGUACAGGACCAAAAGCACUGCAGGCCUCGGGUUGACGAGUGCUCUACCAGGGGCUUGCCCUGCAGGUUCCUGUCCUCGCAGCCGCCACCGCCGCCACCUGGGCGCUGCUGGGAGCUGGAGCUCUUGGGCAGUCAUGGCCUCCGAGAUCAGUCAGGACAGGCUGCCCAGCCUCUAUCCUCUUGAA